CGGAGAAAACAGGAGGCGGUGACGGAGGAGGCACUACAUGGGGAGAACAAGGUGGGCCUGAGAGUUGUAACCACCGGUGUCCCCUGUCGGUGACCCUGGCUGGAGUAGGCCAGCCUGCUGCAAGGGUCUGGAAAUGUACUUGUCCCUCCCACAGACCGGGUUCCUCUCUUUUGCCCUGAAUAUCCUCUGGCAUACUAAUGACAAGCCUCGGUACCUACUGCCACGUUUGAAGUGCUAAGGACAUACGAUGUGCACAGAGUGUGACACAGUUGUGGGGACACAUUCCUGUACAACAAACAAAUGAACCACACUGAACCAAGCCCCACGUCCCUGAGGGCUAACGCAGGACCUGGCAGGGGGAAGAGAGCUGUGCACUGAGCACUGGGGAUGUCACCCAACUCCUGGCAGGGGCUCAUCUGAGUCUGAGCGUGCCCAUGCUGCCACCAGAGCCCCAGAAAGGCUGCCUGACCUUCAG